GGGAGUACAGCUCAUUAGUAGAGUGCUUGCCUAGCAUGCAUGAGGCUCUGGGUUCAAUCACCAGUACUGCCA
rnacentral:tRNA from 1 species